CAACAGUACUUUAUUUAUUUUUUUCAAGCAUUUUAUCUUAAUUCUGCACUAUGUUCUUAUGUCCGUCACCUCCCUAGCACCUGGAAUCAUCAGCCCAUGUUAAACUUAAUAUGAAAAUGUGGAGAUUUACAGUUGGUAAGUUCUCGGGUCUAAUAUUAACAGAGCCGAGAACUGAAACCCGAAGCAAUGUCAUUAUAAGCCAUGUAAAAUCUUUCUGAAAACAUGUAAAGUGAUAUGAGACAUUCAAAUGUGCACUCUGUUGCUCUAACUGACACAGCCACACCUCACACCUGGUGUCAGUGAUGCACCAUUGCUCCUUGCAUUGUUUCACUUCUGUAAUUUGGUACUUUUUUGGGACCUGGGUGUUACUCAAUGCUUCCGCUUGCUGCUAGCCCCGAUCACUCUGUCCUGCCAUGCUGCAACAUCUGUGCAACAGCCUCAAGCCUUGUCUCCACCUGACUAUAAGACACCAGACACUGUAAAAAGUACAACUCUGCCAUCUAGCCUAAAUACAAAGAUAUUAUAUUUAGAAUUGAGACAACACAGGUUACCUGAUCAAGAUCUGAAGGUAUGUAAAACUGAAGGGAUGAAAUCCGCUCAUAUUUUAAAAAUGUGUACAUACUAUGUUUAAAAUGAGGCCAGUAAAGACGUAACUUUCUCCUCUUUAUCUCAGAAGAGCGGGUUGUGUCUCCAAGCAUCACAAUGAGCCCUGUCUGGGCGGGUGAAUUCGGGAUCUCACCAGUCAAACUCAUCUGCGCCAUAAGAGACUUCUUUCCAGACAAUCUGGCCUUGGAGUGGAAGCAGGACAGCCAACCACUAAACAUUGUGCCAAUCCAAAGGAAGCUGCAGAGUAUGAAGGAGAGUGACAACACCUUCAGUCUAAUCAGUGAGAUUGAGCCAAAUAUGACUGAGUGGGCACAGGCCUCAAAUUUUACGUGCAAGGCCAAUCACAACAAUCAGGAAUUUAUGAAAACAAUAAGUAUUUGUCAAUCAAUUUCAAGGGCCCCUCCUUCCAUCCAUGUGGAGAUUCCCAGCUUUCAAACAGUAAUGAAUGCAGAAUCCACCGUUAAAGCAACAUGUUUGGUCCGCACUGUUCUUGAUGCCAAGGUGACCUGGCUGAUGAAUGACACGGUCACAGAGGGUAGCACAAAGAGACGGGACAGAAACACAACUCAUUUAAUCAGUGAACUGACCGUUUUGUCAAGUCAAUGGAAACAACUCCAGUCCAUAACAUGUAAAGCUGACCAUAAGUGCUUCUCAUCCACCAAGAGGACUGUGAAUAUUGCAGGGCCAGAAAAUACAUCCACAAUGGUUGUUAUCAGGAGAUCUCUCAAAGAUUUGCUGAGAGGAGGCAGUGCUGUGCUGGAGUGUGAUGUCACAACACCCUCAUCACAUGACCUGUACAUCACCUUUCAAGCCAACAAUGUUGACAUCUCUGGCAGACAGUAUGUUGAACUUCCUGAAGCCACAGGCCUCCUUUCAAUCAGUAGAAGUUUCCCCGUUCCUUCAAAUCAAUUGAAGAAAGACACAAGUUUCACCUGCAAAGUGAACCAAGGAUUCUCCAGCAGCUUUGACUCAAACUCCACAGGCAAUUUUUUUGUGGAUCCAUCAAUGGAACUUCUUCUGGCCCCCAGUGAAAAGUCAGGACCUCAGAGACUCCUAUGCUUUGCCUGGGGCUUCAACCCGCAAAUUAAAUGGUCUUCUGAGUCCCAGAAAAUACCUCCAUCAACUUAUGACAUCAGCAUGGGUGAAGAUGGACGUGUGGCUGUAACCAGUCAGCUUCAUGCCUCUCAAAAGGAGUGGAAAACAGGGAAAAUCUUCACGUGUGAAGUAUCUGACAAGUCUCUGAAUAAAAAUAAGAGAAAGGACAUCAGCCUCUGCUCAGUAACUCCUGCAUCAUCUCAGAUAGUUGGCGUAUAUGUUCAGGGCCCACCACUGGAGGAGCUUCAGAACAAGGGACCAGUGACUAUCACCUGUCUUGUGGUCGGCCCUUCUCUUGAUGAUUUCUCCGUCACCUGGAAAGUAGUUGGGAACAAUCAUGCCCUGAAUGUCCAGAAGGAGCCUCCAGUGAGUCACAGCAAUGGGACAGAAACUUUGCGGAGCUCCCUCAGUGUGUCAGCGGAGGAUUGGCAUGCAUUUAAACAAGUGUCUUGUGAGGCCAAGCACCGUUGUUCCAACCGGGGCUACAAGGACCAUGUAACCAAAAGCAGAGAGCUGUAUCCACCAGCAGUGAAGAUAAUACAACCAGCUGCCCAUGACCUUUCUACCUCAGACGUCGUCGCAUUUAUUUGCCUCGUCUCUGGAUUUUUCCCGUCUAAUAUAUUAGUGUACUGGGAGGAGAAUGGCCAGAGACUCCCUUCAACUCACUUCAUCAACGGUCCAACAUGGAGAUACACAGGGAGCAGCACAUACUCAAUGAGCAGCAGACUAAACACAUCAAAAACCGAGGACAGGCAGUCUACGUAUUCUUGUGUUGUCAGACAUGAGUCAUCUGAAACGCCUUUUGAAAGCUCCAUAAAGGACGUGUUUGCCUCGGUGACCUACAGCAAACCUUCAGCCACCUUGCUCCAGGGCUCCGGUGAACUUGUGUGCCUGGUCUUCGGCUUCAGCCCUGCAUCCAUUAACAUCACUUGGUUUCUUGAUGACACCAAGGAACUGUUGGACUACAACACCAGUGAACCCCACAGAGGCCCAAAUGGAAAGUUCAGCAUUCAAAGCCACCUGCGUCUGUCCCAAGUCAUCUGGUUACCUGGUGCAACCAUCACCUGCAGGGUGACGCAUGCAAACGUCACCCUACCCCAGAAUAUUUCUAAACCAGACUCCUUGGAGAACUGUGAUUUCCUAGAUGACAUCAUGCAUGCUGAAGUGAACGAGGACACGGGUGUGGAAAGCUGGUAUAUGGCUUUCACUUUCCUCAUUUCUUUCCUCAUCGCCAUUAUCUAUGGCGUCUUCGCUACCAUGAUGAAGACUAAAUGAUGAUGAUCCCAGUACCGAUCCCAUUUCCUGAUCCAAAUGUGGACUUUUAAAGAUUUUAAUGGCGUUUGGCUUUUGUAGUUUUGAAAUGUAAUUGAUUCCUUUUAAUAUGAAAUAUUAUUAUAUGUUAUGGAAUUGGUUUAUACUUUAGGCCUGUUUGUUUCUUUUCAGUUCUAUAUUGUAAAUCGUUUCUUUCAGUUAUAUAUUUGGUGUGGCAUGUAUGUAGUCCAACUGUGUAAGAGGAAACAUGACAAUAAAUAAAAAUAUUUAAAAAAUAA